AGAGUACGAUGCAGAAAACUUCUGUAAUUGUCGUUUUUUUUCUAUUUUAAUUUAUUUUGUGG
rnacentral:sRNA from 1 species